UAUAGUGCUCAUAACAUUCGAGCUUGUCACAUCUGCUAGGGCCAGAGAACAGGAUGACUUUAAAGCCCUUUGGGGUAAAAACGAACAUAAUAUUUACCUGACAAAAUAAAUUAGAAAAAAAGGGUUGUGUAUACUCACAUGAGACAAUUGCGCUGACAGGUGUGCUAGAUAAUACUUCAGUGCUUCAGAACAGGGUCCUUUUGUUAGCCAGGGUAUGUCUGGUACAAAUGUACCCAACGAGGAACAUAAACUCAUUUCAGGUGGAGGCGACUGAAACAGCAUUGUGGAUUUGCUGUCAGAGGUCCUGAGAUACCUGAAGAGUCGUUGCUAAAGGCUGGCAAGAUGAUUAACUCGCGUCGCUGGGUGGUACUCCUUAGAAAAUGAGACCGUGUGUCGACUUCUCUGACUGUCAGUGCAGCUGAGAGUCCCUUAUGGCUCCUCAAGAAGUUUUUCAUGGGAGUAGAAAAGCGAAGGGACAGAAUAUUGAUCAGUCUUCUCUAAUUUAUACCACCUGGGGCAGAUGCAUCUGUCACUGUUCAGACAUCUACAAUUCUGCUGUAUUUCCCAUGCUCAAGGUCUGAGGCUGUGUGUUCGGUUUUAAUGUGCAACUUAACCAAGGAUUUUAGAAUACAAAGUCUGUAUCCUAUGCAGCAUCCUGUGUAAUAGGAUGUAUAGCCCAUUGAGCUGAGAACUGAGAAGCAAAUUGAUAGUUAUUCCUCUAUCUUCACCUCACAUAUUUUAGCUAAUCUUAUCAGACUUCAGUUCAAUUUCCAGCAAUAAUGCUUUCUGUAUGUGUUUGUACUUACUAAUGCUGUUUUUUACAUCAAAAUCCCAGCCUGCUAUAUCUUGAUGUAUCUCUGAAGGUUAUUUAUAUUCAUCUGCUGCACCAUGUUGGGUCUGACUAGGUUGACUUGAUUUCCUUCUGGUAUAUGAUUUGAAGUUUAGAAGCCUUAUAUUCAUUAGCAAGCUUUGCAAGUUGUUUCAGUGCUGUGCAGCUCUUACUUGAGAGCAGCACAUAUAGAGGUAGACUAGAAUUAAAGGUUAAAGUAUAGGCAUUAUGUGAUUUUAACCAUACAAUGAAUUCAGGUUAUCUGCUUUUAAUAUUGGAAAUCAAUGUUUAGCAUUUACUUUUGAAAAGGAUUAAUGUACUUUCCUGGAGAAAGAUCUGGAGACUUCUUACGUGCUCUGAAAAUUUAAUAGUGCUUACUUUUAAGGUUGGCUUCCAGAUAUUGCAUCAUUAAUCUUUAAGCUAUCAAAAAACUCUAUUUGUAUUUUAUAACUUUUUGAAUGUCUAGCUGAUGUCACCCAAAAGCCUUGGGCUUAAAUAAAAGUGUGCACACCGGAA